GCCACGGUGGUCUAGCGGUUAGAACGCUGGCCUUGUAAUCCUGGGGUCUCGGGUUCGAUUCCGGGCGGUGCCC
rfam:Zootermopsis nevadensis contig16834, whole genome shotgun sequence.